CAGGCAGGAGGAGAAAAAGAGACUGUUUAGUUCUCCUAGAAAAACAGAAAGCAUAUCCGAGGCUGCAGCAGGCCCCCAGGCUGGCCCUGAGUUUGUACGCUCAGUUAUGGUGACUUUUCAGCAGCUGUUCAAGGAGAAGCCCAUUCCAGAGAGACAUUCCCUAAUCCCCUUGCUGCUCCUCUGGCUGGGGAACAGCUCACAGCCUGCACUUCCAAACUGGAUUUGUUACGUGCAAGGACUACAGGGCUGGAUUUGAAUCCCAAAGGCAAGGAGUGCAGAUCAGUGGCUGAGCCAGCCUGCCAAGGCUUGAUCCAGAGAAUGUGACUUUCAGAGAAAGAAACAAAUAAGUAAAUACAAACUCAAUAAAAGUUACAUAAUGUUCUCA